GCGGCUCCCAAGAUGCCGUCCAUCAUGAAAGGGCUGCUGAGCAAAUGGACUAAUGUGAUGAAGGGCUGGCAGUACUGCUGGUUUGUGCUGGACUAUAAUGCAGGACUGCUCUCCUACUACACGUCCAAGGACUAGAUGAUGAGAAGCUCUCGCAGAGGAUGUGUUAGACUCAGAGGAGCUGUGAUUGGUAUAGACAAUGAGGAUGACAGCACCUUCACGAUAACUAUUGAUCAGAAAAACUUCCAUUUCCAGGCUCGUGAUGCUGAUGAGCGAGAGAAAUGGAUCCAUCCCUUAGAAGAAACAAUUCUUCGACAUACUCUCCAGCUUCAAGGUUUGGAUUCAGGAUUUGUUCCUACUGUUCAGGACUUUGACAAGACACUUACAGAGGCUGAUGCUUACCUACAAAUCUUGAUAGAACCAUUAAAGCUUUUUGAUGACAAGCUUCAGAACUGCAAAGAUGAUGAACAGAGAAAGAGAAUUGAAACUCUCAGAGAGACAACAAAUAGCAUGGUAGAAUCAAUUAAACACUGCAUUGUACUGCUUCAGAUUGCUAAAAGUACUAUUAAUCCUGUAGAUGCAAUAUAUCAGCCUAGUCCCCUGGAACCUGUGAUCAGCACAAUGCCUUCCCAGACUGUCUUACCUCCAGAACAUGCUCAGUUGUGUAAGUCAGAGCAGUGUCCGUCUUCCCUGCCAGUUGGACCCGUAUUAGCUACUUUGGGACUUCAUCAGAGUCCAACACCUAAUAGUACAUGCAGUGGCCAUUCACCACCCAGUUGCAGUCUCACUUCUCCAAGCCAUGUCAACUUAUCUCCAAAUACAGUCCUGGAGUUUUCUUACUCUAGCAGCGAAGAUGAGUUCUAUGAUGCUGACUAGUUCCAUCAAAGUGGCUCAUCCCCAAAGAUUCUUCUGGGUCUGCCUCAUUUUUGACACAUAGCAGCUUGGGAAAUAGUCUGAAGUGCCCAGAUACUACAGAAUCACUUAAUUAUUCUAUGUCCAAUGGAACAAGUGAUGCUGACCUUUUUGAUUUGCAUGACAAUAGAGAUGAUGACGGGAGGCUGGCUCUGUGGAGGAGCAUAAGAACGUCAUCAUGCACCUCUUGUCACAGGUCAGGCUUGGAAUGGAUCUUACUAAGGUAGUUCUUCCAACAUUUAUUCUUGAAAGAAGAUCUCUUUUAGAAAUGUAUGUAGACUUUUUUGCACAUCCGGACCUGUUUGUGAGCAUUAGUGACCAGAAGGAUCCCAAAGAUUGCGUGGUUCAGGUUGUGAAAUGGUACCUCUCAGCCUUUCAUGCAGAAAGGAAAGGAUCAGUUGCCAAAAAGCCCUACGACCCCAUUUUGGGUGAGAUUUUUCAGUGUCAUUGGACAUUACCAAAUGCUACUGAAGAGAACACAGAGCUAGUUUCAGAAGGACCAGUUCCUGGGAUUUCCAAAAACAGCGUAACAUUUGUGGCUGAGCAGGUGUCCCAUCAUCCACCGAUUUCAGCCUUUUAUGCAGAGUGUUUUAACAAGAAGAUACAAUUCAACGCUCAUAUCUGGACCAAAUCAAAAUUCCUUGGAAUGUCAAUUGGCGUGCACAACAAAGGGCAGGGCUGUGUCUCGUGUCUAGACUAUGAUGAACAUUAUAUUCUCACAUUUCCCAAUGGUUAUGGAAAGUCUAUUGUCACAGUGCCCUAGGUGGAAUUAGGAGGAGAAUGCAGUAUUAAUUGUUCCAAACAGGCUACAGUGCAAAUAUCGUCUUCCACACUAAACCUUUCUAUGGGGGCAAGAAGCACAGAAUUACUGCUGAGAUUUUUUCUCCAAAUGACAAGAAGCCUUUUUGCUCCAUUGAAGGGGAAUGGAAUGGUGUAAUGUAUACAAAAUAUGCAACAGGGGAAAAUACAGUCUUUGUAGUACUAAGAAGUUGCCUAUAAUCAAGAAGAAAGUGAGGAAGUUGGAAGAUCAGAAUGAGUAUGAAUCCCACUGCCUUUGGAAGGAUGUCACUUUCAACUUAAAAAUCAAAGACAUUGAUGCAGCAACUGAAGCAAAGCACAGACUUGAAGAAAGACAAAGAGCAGAAUCCCGAGAAAGGAAGGAGAAGGAGAUUCAGUGGGAGACCAGGUUAUUUCAUGAAGAUGGAGAAUGUUGGGUUUAUGAUGUACCAUUACUAAAACGUCUUGGUGCUGCCAAGCAUUAGGCUGGGAAAUGUGAAGUUUACACCUGAUGACCAGGGCAGUAGGCAUAAUUCAGCAACAAACAAUCUUCCUUUGGGAGAACCUAUUGACUCCCUUCUUAUUACAGUGGUUCCUAUCUCAGGGCUACUGGACUUUCCGAUGCAGAUGAGCAAUUAAAGUGGGAAAAGCUUCCCUUUUUCCUCUGUGGCAGUUAUGAUUUUGACUCCAAGUCCUGAGAAAAACCCCAGGUUUUGAAAACAAGAUGUCUGCUCCUUUUCCAAACCCCAGGCAUUGAAAAACAUUUAUAAA